ncrna:Schistosoma mansoni type-P1 twister ribozyme
AAUAUAACUUUGCCUGUAGCCCCUCCGGUGGCUACUGCCGGUCCCAAGCCCGGAUAAAGAAGGAGGGUUGG